CAGGCAGCAUCUUGGAAAUAUCAGAGCAUCUUUGGGCCUAACUAUACAGGGAUGAUGGUUUUCUUAUGACUCGUUUGGUAUAUUUUCCCCUGAGUGUAUAUUUGACUCAGAUGUCAGUCUUUGUAUAUAUCUACAGACUAAGUUAAUGUGUAGGUGUGAGUUUAAUGGAACAAAGUUGUGGCAAUCCUGUAGGAAGUCGCAGCUGCGUGUGUUUUAAGAAGCCACUAGAUAUUCUUCAUGUAAGUGCUGCCGACCUGUCUAGCAUUCACUGUGGGCACCAAAGUAAAAGAUCUGAGUGUAUCCAUCAUUUCAAUGAGCUACAUGACAAAUGUGGAGUUAGAUAAGGGCUUGAAUUUAUGGACUUGCUAUUGUUUUAUUAAUUGAGAUGCUUUGCCAGGUCAUGUACUUAUUGCCUCAUUUGUGGUUUUUGAAUCUUUAAUUUGAAGAACUAUUUGGAUUGCUCGAGAAAUUUCCACCACAUACUAAGUGGCAUUGGAUGGGGGGGGAGAGGAAACACCAUGUAGCAGUUAAUUUUCUGCUUUCAGCCAAAUACUGUAUCAUGUUCUCUCUCCAUGAAAGAAGGUCAUAAACAAGUUAGCCAAUAAAAUAGCUUCCUCCUGAGAAGUAUAGAACUCAGUUGUGUUCACUUCUGUGCCUGGGCAGUGUCAAACAAGAGUGGUGGCACUGAGGAAAGAGUCAGUGUAGAGGGGCUGAUGUGUUGAGGAGCAUUUACGGUUUGAAAGUGUUGAGAUUGUAACUCCAACUUCUCUACAUGACUUGUGAGAGAUCUGCCCCUAAUUCUUGCACUCUAAUAUUCCUACUUGGAGCAAGGCCUGGGGUGUCUGACUUGGCCCUCUGUUACAUACCAGGCCUUAGAGAAGAAAAACCUUCAGAUAGAUAGUGGGUAGAGUCAAGAUUAAAGUUGACACAUUUCUGUCCCGGAACCCUACUGCCUCCCUGCAGAAACUCUGUCUAUAAAAUGUCUCCAGGUGGCCCUGUCCCAGGAUUAGGGGUCAGGCAUUUUAUAUCAAGGGUGCUCUGAAUAUAUUUUAUUUUUUAAAAAAACUAUGUUUGUGAAUUUUAUGUAUACUGGCAAGCUUUUGAAAAUGUAUUUAAUUUUGUAAUGUUUACCAACAGUUUCUUUACAAGCAUUUUACUCAAAUAAAUGGAGCUGCUUAUAA